rnacentral:rRNA from 1 species
GAUGAACGCUGGCGGCGUGCUUAACACAUGCAAGUCGAACGAUGAAGCCCACUUGUGGGUGGAUUAGUGGCGAACGGGUGAGUAACACGUGAGUAACCUGCCCUUGACUCUGGGAUAAGCCUGGGAAACUGGGUCUAAUACCGGAUAUGACCUUCCAUCGCAUGGUGGUUGGUGGAAAGCUUUUGUGGUUUUGGAUGGACUCGCGGCCUAUCAGCUUGUUGGUGGGGUAAUGGCCUACCAAGGCGACGACGGGUAGCCGGCCUGAGAGGGUGACCGGCCACACCGGGACUGAGACACGGCCCAGACUCCUACGGGAGGCAGCAGUGGGGAAUAUUGCACAAUGGGCGGAAGCCUGAUGCAGCGACGCCGCGUGAGGGAUGACGGCCUUCGGGUUGUAAACCUCUUUCGGUAGGGAAGAAGCGAGAGUGACGGUACCUGCAGAAGAAGCGCCGGCUAACUACGUGCCAGCCGCCGCCGUAA